CUUCACCGUGCCCAGCCACAGCGGCUGGUCCUCGGGGCGGCCCUGGCCGUAGGUCGACAGCAGCGCGUGCGCCUC
rfam:Streptomyces violaceusniger Tu 4113, complete genome.